rnacentral:rRNA from 1 species
UACAGAGGGUGCGAGCGUUAAUCGGAAUUACUGGGCGUAAAGCGCACGUAGGUGGCGACGUAAGUCGGGCGUGAAAGCCCCGGGCUCAACCUGGGAAUUGCAUUCGAGACUGCAUUGCUGGAGUACGGAAGAGGAAGGCGGAAUUCCCGGUGUAGCGGUGAAAUGCGUAGAUAUCGGGAGGAACAUCAGUGGCGAAGGCGGCCUUCUGGUCCAGUACUGACACUCAAGUGCGAAAAGCGUGGGGAGCAA